UGAGUAAUGUCUGGGAAACUGCCUGAUGGAGGGGGAUAACUACUGGAAACGGUAGCUAAUACCGCAUAACGUCUUCGGACCAAAGUGGGGGACCUUCGGGCCUCAUGCCAUCAGAUGUGCCCAGAUGGGAUUAGCUAGUAGGUGGGGUAAUGGCUCACCUAGGCGACGAUCCCUAGCUGGUCUGAGAGGAUGACCAGCCACACUGGAACUGAGACACGGUCCAGACUCCUACGGGAGGCAGCAGUGGGGAAUAUUGCACAAUGGGCGCAAGCCUGAUGCAGCCAUGCCGCGUGUGUGAAGAAGGCCUUCGGGUUGUAAAGCACUUUCAGCGAGGAGGAAGGGUAGUGUGUUAAUAGCACAUUGCAUUGACGUUACUCGCAGAAGAAGCACCGGCUAACUCCGUGCCAGCAGCCGCGGUAAUACGGAGGGUGCAAGCGUUAAUCGGAAUUACUGGGCGUAAAGCGCACGCAGGCGGUUUGUUAAGUCAGAUGUGAAAUCCCCGCGCUUAACGUGGGAACUGCAUUUGAAACUGGCAAGCUAGAGUCUUGUAGAGGGGGGUAGAAUUCCAGGUGUAGCGGUGAAAUGCGUAGAGAUCUGGAGGAAUACCGGUGGCGAAGGCGGCCCCCUGGACAAAGACUGACG
rnacentral:rRNA from 1 species